rnacentral:rRNA from 1 species
GACGAACGCUGGCGGCGUGCCUAAUACAUGCAAGUUGAGCGAUGAAGAUUGGUGCUUGCACCAAUUUGAAGAGCAGCGAACGGGUGAGUAACGCGUGGGGAAUCUGCCUUUGAGCGGGGGACAACAUUUGGAAACGAAUGCUAAUACCGCAUAACAACUUUGAACAUAAGUUUUAAGUUUGAAAGAUGCAAUUGCAUCACUCAAAGAUGAUCCCGCGUUGUAUUAGCUAGUUGGUGAGGUAAAGGCUCACCAAGGCGAUGAUACAUAGCCGACCUGAGAGGGUGAUCGGCCACAUUGGGACUGAGACACGGCCCAAACUCCUACGGGAGGCAGCAGUAGGGAAUCUUCGGCAAUGGACGAAAGUCUGACCGAGCAACGCCGCGUGAGUGAAGAAGGUUUUCGGAUCGUAAAACUCUGUUGGUAGAGAAGAACGUUGGUGAGAGUGGAAAGCUCAUCAAGUGACGGUAACUACCCAGAAAGGGACGGCUAACUACGUG